GAAAUAAAUCUAACUCCUCUGACAGGCUAGAAGAUGACUGAAGCGGUGCAUCUCUCGCAGCCAGCCAGGCUGCCUGCGCAUCAUUCCAGCAAGGGCAAUAUGCUUUAACAUACCAGUAACAACAUGGAGAGGUCUCGUUUCCUGCAGCACUUGCCUGGCUCAGCACUGAGUCUGUGUGCUGAGAUCCGGUGCUGCACUCUGGGCACAGGGAGAGCUCUUUCCUGGUCAGUUCUUCUGGAUGGACUUCCUGAGGCAGGAACUGGAAACCACCACGGCAUCAGGGUUCCACCACACAGAGAUGCUGUAAAUCCCAGUGAAUUAGGCCCAGCAUGGAGUGGUUGCUUUCAGGUGCACUACGGCCAAUCUAUCCCGAGAGAGAGCUGGUCUCUGGGCAUCACUAAGAGGAUUCAGAUAACACAGCAGGAGCAGGAGAGAGAUGUACAGGAGUUAUUUAAAAAUAGAAAAAUAUAAUUUAAAAACAAACUUUUUGGGAUGUAACUUGAAAAAUAAGUAGAAAAAAGAAACAAAUGCAAAUAUCUCCAGGUUUCUAGUUGUUUAAAAGUGAUGAUGGUUCAGGUGGGUGACGAGCAGGUAUUUCCUCUGAAACGGAAGUAAAAUAUUAAAUCAAAGAAAAAAGAGAAUGUAUGUACAUAUGCAUGCACUUUGAAAGCCUUCUGCUGAAUUAUAAAUACCUCUGAAUCAUAAAAUAUAGAGUUUGUUAGUGGUUUCUGUUGAAGUCUGAACAUGUGGUUUUGUUUGUUCACAGCACAGCCCUAUGAGCUAUCACAUUAAAACCAGAGAGAAGGGAGAAAGACACCAC
rnacentral:lncRNA from 1 species